GGCCAUGUGAACAGUGGCUGCCUGGAAAUUACAAUGUGAAAAUAUAUAUCUGCAAUGGUGAAUGCGGAAGCAAGCAUCCUCACAGUCAAAUUUACGACACAGCCCAAACCAGCUUCACAAUUACUCAGUAGAUAACAACUUCAUCGGAACAGCUUCAUCUUGUGUUGUGAUCAUUUCAAUUUAUUUGAGUUUUACCUCCAUUAAAGCAUUUAUGUUU
rnacentral:misc_RNA from 1 species